GACGAACGCUGGCGGCGUGCUUAACACAUGCAAGUCGAACGGAAAGGCCCCUUCGGGGGUACUCGAGUGGCGAACGGGUGAGUAACACGUGGGUGAUCUACCCUGCACUUCGGGAUAAGCCUGGGAAACUGGGUCUAAUACCGGAUAUGACCACGAGAUGCAUGUCUUGUGGUGGAAAGCUUUUGCGGUGUGGGAUGGGCCCGCGGCCUAUCAGCUUGUUGGUGGGGUGACGGCCUACCAAGGCGACGACGGGUAGCCGGCCUGAGAGGGUGUCCGGCCACACUGGGACUGAGAUACGGCCCAGACUCCUACGGGAGGCAGCAGUGGGGAAUAUUGCACAAUGGGCGCAAGCCUGAUGCAGCGACGCCGCGUGGGGAUGACGGCCU
rnacentral:rRNA from 1 species